UCCUUUCUAAAGAGAUGAUAUUCACAUAGGCUCAGGUUGUACAUCUUAGUCAUACACUAGACUAGAGUGAUAGCUGUAGAGACUACAGAGCCUCAAACAUUGGAAUAUGGUUUGGAUCACCACCCAAAGGUUGAUGCAAGUUCUGUUCAUGCAGAUAAUAUAUCUCCAGUAUGUGAGGUGCAAGGAAGAAAUAGACCAGAUUCCUCGGUCAGCUUCUGCAGCUGAAGGCAGCACGUUCAGUAUGACAUGCGAAUAUAACACAGCUUUCUUCAGUCUCCAGUGGUACAAGCAGGUGCCUGGGGAGAAGUUUCAGUUUUUGAGAACCCAAAGGUCGGACGAGGAGAUUACAGAAGACAGAUUUGUAUUCCGUCUGCAGAAAGAGAAGAAGCUCAGCACUUUUUCUAUCAAGCAGGUGGAAGUGUCAGACUCAGCCACAUAUUGGUGUGCUCUGGAGGCACAGUGCUAGAAAGCAGCUACUCACUGAACAAAAACCAGGCUACUAACUAAGAACUAAAAUUACAAACUUUAUAUUACACUGUUUUUUUUUUUUAAAGUUUUUAUUUUUAUUUUCAAAGUGCAGGGCAUUGUUAAGGUACUGGUCGGUCCCAGGGAAAAGAUUGUAUUGUUGGGCCCCCAAAGCCACAACAAAAUAUUUGUGAUAGUGUCACCCUCAAGCAGGUAAGCCCACAAAUAAUAGGAUUUUACUGAUUUAACGGCAAAUGCUUUUUUACUUUUUGCCCAGUGUGUCCCAGCUUUGUGAUUGCUGCAUUAACAUCAACCUUUACAUUUUCCCAAUUUUAAACCAUUUUUUUUUUUGGUUCCCUGAAAAACAUGAAAUGGGGGUUCUACUGUAUUACAGUUAUCAUUAUCAUUUGAUCCAAAUGAGCAUACAAUUAAUUAUAUGCUAAUUUAUUAGACUUAAGACUGAAUUAACUCUGUAAUGUCAUUGCCAUGUGCUUCCAUUUGCCAUUUGGUGCCAGUACCUCUGUGAAAGUAAACUGCACUGCUUUUAAAGGGAUAUUAUAGACGUCAUUAAAACAUAUAUAUGAUGCAGGAGCCUGUAAGGUAACGUCUGCCUGACCUCAAUGACCAUGAAAUUUUCCUACACCACGGAAAAAAACAACAAUAUCCUCAUCUUAUACUCAUUGCUGGAAAGCAGACAAGCAGAACCUCACAAACCACUAAAAAUGAUAUACCACAAGUACAGGUAUGGGAUCUAUUAUCCAGAAACCCUUUAUCCAGAAAGCUCUGAAUUACGGAAAGGCU